rnacentral:piRNA from 1 species
GCAGAUUGUACAAUGCGGGGUGAGCGC